rnacentral:rRNA from 1 species
CUUUCCAGAGAUGGAUUGGUGCCUUCGGGAACUCUGAGACAGGUGCUGCAUGGCUGUCGUCAGCUCGUGUUGUGAAAUGUUGGGUUAAGUCCCGCAACGAGCGCAACCCUUAUCCUUUGUUGCCAGCGGUCCGGCCGGGAACUCAAAGGAGACUGCCAGUGAUAAACUGGAGGAAGGUGGGGAUGACGUCAAGUCAUCAUGGCCCUUACGAGUAGGGCUACACACGUGCUACAAUGGCGCAUACAAAGAGAAGCGACCUCGCGAGAGCAAGCGGACCUCAUAAAGUGCGUCGUAGUCCGGAUUGGAGUCUGCAACUCGACUCCAUGAAGUCGGAAUCGCUAGUAAUCGUGGAUCAGAAUGCCACGGUGAAUACGUUCCCGGGCCUUGUACACACCGCCCGUCACACCAUGGGAGUGGGUUGCAAAAGAAGUAGGUAGCUUAACCUUCGGGAGGGCGCUUACCACUUUGUGAUUCAUGACUGGGGUGAAGUCGUAACAAGGUAGGCGUAGAUGA